CUCCCUACUCAGCCGCCUUGAGGGUCCCAAGCGUCCCGGUCUCUGGCCUGGACCCACUGGGCUAAGGGCGCCCAGGCCAGCUCAGGGUGAUCCUGCAGGAGUCUCUGGAGACAAGGGCGAGCCUGUGCUCGGCUGCCAGGGACGUCCCCCCGGGAUGAGCCCCGAGCUAUCCCCGCGGCCCUGGGCCAGGCUGCCCCGCGGGGCGCUGGGACCUGACCGGGCAGGGACCUCUGAGACUCCGGAGACCUGCGCGCUUGGACAACAGGAGCCAGAAGACCCAGCAGACAUGAGUGAAAACAGCUGCCUGCACAAGUUGUCCCCUAACAGGUACAGCCAAGAGUCAGAAGCACAGAGGGAGCUGGGGAAGCGACAUUUCUUACAGAGCCCACUGCUGUCCCUGUGUGAAGUGGCUCAUAUCAGGUUUUUGUUAAUCCAGUGGGUUUGGUGGAAUUAAAGAGCUGCUGUGAAAAAAAAAAAACAACUCAGCAACCUGCUGGUGCCAGAACAGCCUUGUCAAGCUAGCAGGUAGCUGUGCGUUUAGCCUUUAUCCUGCACACAAUAAGGCCAAUCACCAGGGCCUGUAGAAAGAGCAUUGAACUGUCGACACAGGACAUUUCUGUUGAAAGUAGUCCUUUUGAUUUCAUCUUCCUGAACUAAUGUAAUCAAAGCAGACAUUAUGGAACACAUUCAUCUCGGUUUGAUAGAGACCAUCAUGAAUGUCCAG
rnacentral:lncRNA from 1 species